GAUUAUCAUAUGGAGUCGGAUAAUAAUAACAACAAUGAUGACCCCUACCCGAAAUUGUGGGAUAUUUUGAAGUUCUUGAUUCGUAUGGAAUUUCUGUUUGGUGGCUAACAACAAACAAUCGUUGGCCUCAGAGCAUAAUUUAGACUAAAAUUAUGGCGAAGGACAGAGGAUGUGAACUCAAAAUGCCAAAAACUUUCCCAUAUCAGUCAGGUUAACUAUGAAUGGUCAGAUCCUUUGGCUUGCAGAUACAAAUGAUGCAUCAGACUAUAUAAUUCUACAAGGUAUGAAGACUAUCCCACUUGAACCGCAGUGGAGUAUUUCGCUGCGCUUUAGUUAUACUUGAAAGAUUGGACUAUAAGCGAAUAAAUAAUGAAUAAAUGUAUUAUAUGUUUUCUUUUUUGUUUAAAUUAAAAAAAAACAAAACGUA